AUAAUGCAGUUCGAGCGGACAGAUGGGAGCUUGCUCCCUGAUGUUAGCGGCGGACGGGUGAGUAACACGUGGGUAACCUGCCUGUAAGACUGGGAUAACUCCGGGAAACCGGGGCUAAUACCGGAUGGUUGUUUGAACCGCAUGGUUCAAACAUAAAAGGUGGCUUCGGCUACCACUUACAGAUGGACCCGCGGCGCAUUAGCUAGUUGGUGAGGUAAUGGCUCACCAAGGCAACGAUGCGUAGCCGACCUGAGAGGGUGAUCGGCCACACUGGGACUGAGACACGGCCCAGACUCCUACGGGAGGCAGCAGUAGGGAAUCUUCCGCAAUGGACGAAAGUCUGACGGAGCAACGCCGCGUGAGUGAUGAAGGUUUUCGGAUCGUAAAGCUCUGUUGUUAGGGAAGAACAAGUACCGUUCGAAUAGGGCGGUACCUUGACGGUACCUAACCAGAAAGCCACGGCUAACUACGUGCCAGCAGCC
rnacentral:rRNA from 1 species